GAUGAACGCUAGCUACAGGCUUAACACAUGCAAGUCGAGGGGCAGCACUAGGUAGCAAUAUUGAGGUGGCGACCGGCGCACGGGUGCGUAACGCGUAUCCAACCUUCCCGAUACUCUUGGAUAGCCUUCCGAAAGGGAGAUUAAUACAAGAUGGUGUUUCAAUUCCGCAUGUUAUUGAAACUAAAGAUUCAUCGGUAUCGGAUGGGGAUGCGUGACAUUAGAUAGUAGGCGGGGUAACGGCCCACCUAGUCUACGAUGUCUAGGGGUUCUGAGAGGAAGGUCCCCCACACUGGAACUGAGACACAGUCCAGACUCCUACGGGAGGCAGCAGUGAGGAAUAUUGGUCAAUGGUCGGAAGACUGAACCAGCCAAGUAGCGUGAAGGAUGAAGGUUCUAUGGAUUGUAAACUUCUUUUAUACGGGAAUAAAACACCUUACGUGUAGGGUCUUGUAUGUACCGUAUGAAUAAGCAUCGGCUAACUCCUUGCCAGCCGCCGCGGUAAAAC
rnacentral:rRNA from 1 species